AUACGUAGGUGACAAGCGUUAUCCGGAUUGACUGGGCGUAAAGGGCGUGUAGGCGGUCUUGCAAGUCAGAAGUGAAAUUCCUGAGCUCAACUCGGGCGCUGCUUCUGAAACUGAUGGACUUGAGUGCUGGAGGGGAUAGCGGAAUUCCUAGUGUAGCGGUAAAAUGCUUAGAUAUUAUAUAGAACACCGAUUGCGAAGGCAGCUCACUAAGCAGCGAUUGACGCUGAGGCACGAAAGCGUGGGGAUCAAACAGGAUUAGAUACCCUGGUAGUCCACGCCCUAAACGAUGAUUACUCGACAUACGCGAUACACAGUGUGUGUCUGAGCGAAAGCAUUAAGUAAUCCACCUGGGAAGUACGUCCGCAAGGAUGAAACUCAAAUGAAUUGGCGGGG
rnacentral:rRNA from 1 species